rnacentral:rRNA from 1 species
UACGGAAGGCAGCAGUGGGGAAUAUUGCACAAUGGGCGCAAGCCUGAUGCAGCCAUGCCGCGUGUAUGAAGAAGGCCUUAGGGUUGUAAAGUACUUUUCAUCGGGGAGGAAAAAAACAAAAACUAAUAAUUUUAUUUUCUUUGACGUUACCCGAAAAAGAAGCACCGGCUAACUCCGUGCCAGCAGCCGCGGUAAUACGGAGGGUGCUAGCGUUAAUCAGAAUUACUGGGCGUAAAGAGCACGUAGGUGGUUUUUUUAAGUUCAGAUGUGAAAUCCCUGGGCUUAACCUGGAACUGCAUUUUGAAACUGAAAUACUAGAGUAUCGUAGAGGGAGGUAGAAUUCUAGGUGUAGCGGUGAAAUGCGUAGAUAUCUGGAGGAAUACCUGUGGCGAAAGCGGCCUCCUAAACGAAUACUGACACUGAGGGUGCGAAAGCGU